UACGGGGGGGGCAAGCGUUGUUCGGAAUUACUGGGCGUAAAGUGUUUGUAGGUGGCUUGUUAAGUCAGACGUGAAAUCCCUCAGCUUAACUGGGGAACUGCGUCUGAUACUGGCGAGCUUGAGUGCAGGAGAGGAACGCGGAAUUCCAGGUGUAGCGGUGAAAUGCGUAGAUAUCUGGAGGAACACCGGUGGCGAAGGCGGCGUUCUGGACUGCAACUGACACUGAGAAACGAAAGCCAGGGUAGCAAACGGG
rnacentral:rRNA from 1 species